UACAGAGGAUGCAAGCGUUAUCCGGAAUGAUUGGGCGUAAAGCGUCUGUAGGUGGCUUUUUAAGUCCGCCGUCAAAUCCCAGGGCUCAACUCUGGACAGGCGGUGGAAACUACCAAGCUGGAGUACGGUAGGGGCAGAGGGAAUUUCCGGUGUAGCGGUGAAAUGCGUAGAUAUCGGAAGGAACACCUGUGGCGAAAGCGGCUCACUGGACCAUAACUGACGCUGAGGCGCGAAAGCUAGGGGAGCAAACAGG
rnacentral:rRNA from 1 species